ACCAUGAAAAGCGUUGGUUGCUUAAAACAGCAGGACGGUGAUCAUGGAAGUCUAAAUCCGCUAACAACUCACCUGCCGAAGAAACAGCAACUAGCUCUUAAAUUAGAUGGCGCUUAAGUUGUAUACCUAUACAUUACCGCUAAAGUUUAGGGUUUCGUAUGAACAGUGGUUGAUCACGAGUUAGUCGGUCCUAAGUUCCAGGCGAAAGCCGAAAAUUUUCAAGUAAAACAAAAAUGCCAAAUUAUAUAGCGAAAAUAAUACACUUGAAUAAUUUUGAACGAAAGGUAAUACGGUUCCAAUUCCGUAACCUGUUAUUAAAUAUGGGCCUCGUGCUCAUCCUGGCAACGACCAUAAAAAUGCCGUCGAGAGAUAUCGGAAGAGUUUUCUUUUCUGUUUUAUAGCCCUACUACCAUGGAAGUCUUUCGCAGAGAGAUAUGGUAGAUGGGCUAGAAGAGCAUGACAUAUACUGUUGCGUCGAUAUUUUCUCCUCGGACCUUGAAAAUUGAUGGUGGGGACACGCAAACUUCUCAACAGGCCGUACCAAUAUCCGCAGCUGGUCGCCAAGGUGAAGAGUGACAUAGAGUCAAUAGAAUAAUGUAGGUAAGGGAAG
rnacentral:rRNA from 1 species